GAAAGACCCCGUGAACCUUUACUAUAGCUUGACACUGAACACUGGUCCUUGAUGUGCAGGAUAGGUGGGAGGCUUUGAAGCGCGGACGCCAGUUCGUGUGGAGCCAUCCUUGAAAUACCACCCUUUAAUGGCUGGUGUUCUAACGUAGACCCGUGAUCCGGGUUGCGGACAGUGUCUGGUGGGUAGUUUGACUGGGGCGGUCUCCUCCUAAAGAGUAACGGAGGAGCACGAAGGUUAGCUAAUCCUGGUCGGACAUCAGGAGGUUAGUGCAAAGGCAUAAGCUAGCUUGACUGCGAGCGUGACGGCGCGAGCAGGUGCGAAAGCAGGUC
rnacentral:rRNA from 1 species